AACACCUACAACUAGCAUUCACCACACAAGCAAGGUAUCAAAGAGAAAGCUUCUAAGACUUGUGCAAGCAAGCAUAUGUGACGCACAUUCAAAUGCAACAUACAAGUUUAUAAGCUUGCUCCCCCUACUUAUGUCCUCCAAAAUUUUAAUUUUAAUUGAUACCCUUCCUUUAUCAUGUUACUCCCCUUUAUUUCUCCUCCAUUUUUAUCUUUGUAGUUCCUCUCCCCCUUUGUCAUCAAUGACCACAAAAGGUGAGCUUAAAUUUUAGAUAGGUUAGUGUGAAACCAUAUGAAGUGAGAUCAUUUUCCCAAAUUAGUUCAACC
rnacentral:lncRNA from 1 species